rnacentral:pre_miRNA from 1 species
GUUGUACUCCCUCCGUCCGAAAAUAUUUAUCGAAGAAAUGGAUAAAAAUAGAUGUAUCUAAAACUAAAAUACAUCUAGAUACAUCCAUUUCUCCGACAAGUAUUUCCGGACGGAGGGAGUAACUG